AAGUCGAACGAUGAACCACUUCGGUGGGGAUUAGUGGCGAACGGGUGAGUAACACGUGGGCAAUCUGCCCUUCACUCUGGGACAAGCCCUGGAAACGGGGUCUAAUACCGGAUAACACUCCUGUCCUCAUGGGCGGGGGUUAAAAGCUCCGGCGGUGAAGGAUGAGCCCGCGGCCUAUCAGCUUGUUGGUGAGGUAAUGGCUCACCAAGGCGACGACGGGUAGCCGGCCUGAGAGGGCGACCGGCCACACUGGGACUGAGACACGGCCCAGACUCCUACGGGAGGCAGCAGUGGGGAAUAUUGCACAAUGGGCGAAAGCCUGAUGCAGCGACGCCCCGUGAGGGAUGACGGCCUUCGGGUUGUAAACCUCUUUCAGCAGGGAAGAAGCGAAAGUGACGGUACCUGCAGAAGAAGCGCCGGCUAACUACGUGCCAGCAGCCGCGGUAAUACGUAGGGCGCAAGCGUUGUCCGGAAUUAUUGGGCGUAAAGAGCUCGUAGGCGGCUUGUCACGUCGAUUGUGAAAGCCCGGGGCUUAACUCCCGGUCUGCAGUCGAUACGGGCUAGCUAGAGUGUGGUAGGGGAUAUCGGAAUUCCUGGUGUAGCGGUGAAAUGCGCAGAUAUCAGGAGGAACACCGGUGGCGAAGGCGGAUCUCUGGGCCAUUACUGACGCUGAGGAGCGAAAGCGUGGGGAGCGAACAGGAUUAGAUACCCUGGUAGUCCACGCCGUAAACGGUGGGAACUAGGUGUUGGCGACAUUCCAUGUGGUCGGUGCCGCAGCUAACGCAUUAAGUUCCCCGCCUGGGGAGUACGGCCGCAAGGCUAAAACUCAAAGGAAUUGACGGGGGCCCGCACAAGCGGCGGAGCAUGUGGCUUAAUUCGACGCAACGCGAAGAACCUUACCAAGGCUUGACAUACACCGGAAACGUCUGGAGACAGGCGCCCCCUUGUGGUCGGUGUACAGGUGGUGCAUGGCGUCGUCAGCUCGUGUCGUGAGAUGUUGGGUUAAGUCCCGCAACGAGCGCAACCCUUGUCCCGUGUUGCCAGCAGGCCCUUGUGGUGCUGGGGACUCACGGGAGACCGCCGGGGUCAACUCGGAGGAAGGUGGGGACGACGUCAAGUCAUCAUGCCCCUUAUGUCUUGGGCUGCACACGUGCUACAAUGGCCGGUACAAUGAGCUGCGAUACCGUGAGGUGGAGCGAAUCUCAAAAAGCCGGUCUCAGUUCGGA
rnacentral:rRNA from 1 species